CGUUUAACAACGAACCAACGAGCGAAACAAUUCCUGCUACACAUGAAUACGCGCACCAACGAUAAGCCGAGACAACCGAGGAAGAAGGAGAAUUUCCAGAACCGUCGUAAUAUCGGCGAUAACGUACCGAUGACGAUCAUCGUCCGGAUCCCGACUUAUAAUACCUCUACACGACGCUAGUCUGAAGUUUCCCCACAGAAAUGAAGGUUCCGUUACCUCGGUAAUUACCCUUUCACGAUACAGCUGGGUAUUAUGCAAC
rnacentral:misc_RNA from 1 species